rnacentral:ncRNA from 1 species
GAGCUGGGGACCUGGGCGCGUACAAUGGACUCCUUAGAACGAACUAUAGAUGAACUAUCCUUGAUCAGGUUGAAGCCAAGGGAAACCCUGAUGGAAGACCGAACAGUGCAAAUUGAUUGUCAGAAUUUAAUAUAGGGGCGAAAGACUAAUCGAAGCAUCUAGUAACUGGUUCCCCCCGAAGUUUCCCUCAGGAUAGCUGGUGCAUUUAAAAAUUAUGUAAAAUGAUCUUAUCCGCUAAAGCGAGCGAUUAGAUGCCUUAGGGUCAAAACGAUCUUAAUCUAAAUUCUAAAAAACUAAGUAGAUAAGAAAAUCAUCUUUUUUUAUAUGAAGGUUGUGGUCGUGACAUAAUGUUGGCCCAGUUGACCAUAUCUGGUAAGCAGAACUGACGCUGUGCGACAGACCGAACAAAUUGCACAUACAAUAGAGAGCCAAUAGAGAGCCCGAGAGCAUACGAAGUCUAUAUAUUGCUGAU